CGGCAUGUUAUCCGAGGGCCACGGCUGCCCCCAUAGCUGCGGCAGCUCCAACAACAUGCGAGAGAAACAGAGGGGCUUUGUCAGCUUGUGUCCUUGUCCCACCGGCUGUCACUCUGCUCUCAUACAGAA
ensembl:snoRNA